GACGAACGCUGGCGGCGUGCUUAACACAUGCAAGUCGAACGGAAAGGCUCCAGCUUGCUGGAGUACUCGAGUGGCGAACGGGUGAGUAACACGUGGUUAAUCUGCCCUGCACUCUGGGAUAAGCCUGGGAAACUGGGUCUAAUACUGGAUAUGACCUUUCUCCUUAUGGGGUUUGGUGGAAAGUUUUUCGGUGUAGGAUGAGCCCGCGGCCUAUCAGCUUGUUGGUGGGGUGAUGGCCUACCAAGGCGACGACGGGUAGCCGGCCUGAGAGGGUGAUCGGCCACAUUGGGACUGAGAUACGGCCCAGACUCCUACGGGAGGCAGCAGUGGGGAAUAUUGCACAAUGGGCGGAAGCCUGAUGCAGCGACGCCGCGUGAGGGAUGACGGCCUUCGGGUUGUAAACCUCUUUCAGCAGGGACGAAGCGUAAGUGACGGUACCUGCAGAAGAAGCACCGGCUAACUAUGUG
rnacentral:rRNA from 1 species